GAACGGUCCCUAGGUUUGCGCGGGAUUUAAAGAGAGGGGACGAAAUGGUGGUUCGGGAUGUGGACGGCGGCACGGCAAGGGGUCGCCGCAGUGGCGGCCGCGGAGUUAGGGGUAUGGGGUACGGGGGGCGGGGGUGGGUGGUGCCGGAGAGUGCGCGCGCCGGCGGUAGCGGCAAGGGCAAGAAGGAGCAGCCCUGUAGCGCAAGGACGGCAGAGGUGGGGCAGGCGUCAACUCAAAACUCCGCGCGCGGGCCGUCUUGAAGAUCUAAGCGGGGGCGCCGCCGCGGGCUGUACAGCUGGGGGAGGCCGGGGCCCCUUCGGCUGCCUCGGUGCGGGCGACGGAGAUGCAUAAUGCUGCAGAAGCCGGGGCUGCGAUUUGGACUACAAUAAAAAUUCCUCCGGUGAAGUCUAAGGUGUAACUUAGACGUCCUACAGGUCCCCGAUCAUUGAACCCAAUAACCACUUCCGUACGGCGGAAGUACCCACAAACAAUUUUUGUUCGGAGAAUAGGGUUUUCAAUAGGAAGAGAUACAAGGACCGGAGCUACGUCGAAAUAUGUACAGAGUCAGGGCGGAGGACAGAAGAAACUUUCUUAACACACCGUUAGGUUUUGGACAAGAUCGAAGUUCAACACAUGGUCUACUUUCCGUAUGGUAACUGCGUGAGGACUGUACGUCUCAUUUCGCUUUCGCCGUCAGUGUUUGUAGUUUGGUUGGUAGACUUAGACUACCUCCAUUUAAUAGUUCAGACCGCCUGGAUUUUCUAUAUGGUAAAGGACAAUUUAUAAUGUGUGAAAGAUUUUUCCUAAACCUUCUAUUACCGAUGAGAGAGUUAAAUGGUCCAAAACAGGGAUGCUAACGUCGAGGAAGUCCGAGAAGGGGUAUACUUUAAGAGCGAGAACUAACACUCUACACACACUGUCGUCGACCUAAACUUGAAUGUUCUCACUGUAAUCAGCUAUAAUUUCCUCUCCACUAUGACCUAUUUGAUCAGUUCGGAUGGUUAGGUUAGUGACUAAUGUUAUGUUCCAAAUCACCUUAGUGACGACUCUACGAUAGGCUACACUGUUGUUGGGAGGUCCUCUAAGUCCUUCUCAAAUAACCUGAACACAUGUUUCUUUGGUAAGAACAACCCGUAAGAAACCUUUUACUGGAAAACCGUAAUGCCUAUAGAGUACUGAACCAGUAGCUGUGACGACAAAACAUGUUUAUAUUAGCACCGUGGGCGACGUUUUAACGAAAUGCACAGGACCGUUUGUUUAUAGAAUCGGCCCACUAGGUCUUGUGUCCCAGACCCGUACUGUCGCACCUUCUACGUUCUCGACGAGACCUAGAACGGAAAAACUUUUAGUUUAUACCAGGACUAAAACCGAGAGGUGGCAGCAAAAGUGCUUCUUUCAACAGAAGGUAAGACGUACUUACACCCUUUUCCUCAAGGGAGUAACUACUUCACAAACAAGAACUGGCGAUAAGUCUACGAAGGACGUUAAGUUAACGUCAAAAGAGUCUACUACUACGGGAGAGGUCUAGUUACUUUCUCCAUUUCUUACUGUUUUAGUCGAAACAGACCUGAGUCAAAAGUCCUAACUAGAGAAUAGAUGCAUUUUCUCGACUUUUAGGACUUUUUGACUUUAGGACACAACGCCUCCGAUAACGUAACUUUUGGACACUGUCUUUUUGACGGGCCUUUUCUCGUUUCGUUUAAACAGGUCUCGACUUCCGUUAAAACUCACUUAACCUGUUCUUUUAUUUUUUUGAUAUACUAUGUGACGGACUUUUACGUUACAAAUAAAAUACAUGGCCAGUACCCCUAUGAGGAAACCAGGUUUCUAAUUUCUUUUACGAGUUGGUACCUCUUCUUUGUCAGCUAUCGGCCCUUUUAUAACAGGUACGUAACCUUCUAAAUGUCCGAGUUCGUCUUCAACGAGAUACGAAGACGACACAGUUCGUAAUCGAGGAACGACCUUCCUACCUAAGUCCACACGUAGGACUGUCAGUGAUAGUGAAAACUUCUAACUACUACGUGGACGUUUGCCGAAGCAAUUAAAAUCCUUCCUACCUCAGCACGUACCUGACCUAGGAUUGGCUGACUGUACUUUUGAACUCCGAUAAUGUGCCUAAGUCGAAACUUUGUGCCGAAACUUCAGGCUCCACACGGAAUACUAAAAAACACCCGACCCUGCUAUCCAACAUGACAUCUAGUAAACGUAGUGAAAAGCCUAAAGUCCGUAUGAUUAAACCACCCGACCCUACCAUUAAAGGUCAUUAACAAACAUAAAGCGUGGACCCAUUUAAGACUUUAGUGGGUUUUUGAUUUUAACGUGACUAAAAUCAGAUCAUUACUGUUACAUCACGUGCACGGAGAUGCUUCAUCAGGGCUCGUGCUGCCACGGUGUUCGGGGCGCGAAAGAAGUCUUAUAAACCCGCAAACACCA
rnacentral:rRNA from 1 species